UUAUAGAUAAAUGCCUAGCCCUAGGUCCACAAUCUUCUGUGCAAUACACACAACCUUCCAAUUAUCAGAAGAUUUAUUCUAUCUUUGCUAGCCUAGCCCAUCAUGUGAGUGAAUGUCCUACGGCUGUACAGUUUUCACCUUUCAUCCAAGAACAAGUUCAAGCUGCUUCAGGUUACUCCAAUCCUAUCAAUGACCAAUUCUUAAAUGCAUAUAACCA
rnacentral:lncRNA from 1 species